rnacentral:rRNA from 1 species
UGGCUCACCAAGGCGACGACGGGUAGCCGGCCUGAGAGAGUGACCGGCCACACUGGGACUGAGACACGGCCCAGACUCCUACGGGAGGCAGCAGUGGGGAAUAUUGCACAAUGGGCGCAAGCCUGAUGCAGCAACGCCGCGUGGGGGACGAAGGCCUUCGGGUUGUAAAUCCCUUUUAGCAGGGAAGAAG